CUUUCAACAACGGAUCUCUUGGUUCCAGCAUCGAUGAAGAACGCAGCGAAAUGCGAUAAGUAAUGUGAAUGGCAGAAUUCAGUGAAUCAUCGAAUCUUUGAACGCACAUUGCGCCCCUUGGUAUUCCGAGGGG
rnacentral:rRNA from 1 species